GAUGAACGCUGGCGGCGUGCCUAAUACAUGCAAGUCGAGCGAACGGACGAGAAGCUUGCUUCUCUGAUGUUAGCGGCGGACGGGUGAGUAACACGUGGAUAACCUACCUAUAAGACUGGGAUAACUUCGGGAAACCGGAGCUAAUACCGGAUAAUAUUAUGAACCGCAUGGUUCAAAAGUGAAAGACGGUCUUGCUGUCACUUAUAGAUGGAUCCGCGCUGCAUUAGCUAGUUGGUAAGGUAACGGCUUACCAAGGCAACGAUGCAUAGCCGACCUGAGAGGGUGAUCGGCCACACUGGAACUGAGACACGGUCCAGACUCCUACGGGAGGCAGCAGUAGGGAAUCUUCCGCAAUGGGCGAUAGCCUGACGGAGCAACGCCGCGUGAGUGAUGAAGGUCUUCGGAUCGUAAAACUCUGUUAUUAGGGAAGAACAUAUGUGUAAGUAACUGUGCACAUCUUGACGGUACCUAAUCAGAAAGCCACGGCUAACUACGUG
rnacentral:rRNA from 1 species